rnacentral:rRNA from 1 species
UGAGCAAUCUGCCCUUCACAUCGGAAUAACCAUUGGAAACGAUGGCUAAUACCGAAUAUGACUUCGGAUCGCAUGAUCUGAAGUGGAAAGCUCCGGCGGUGAAGGAUGAGCUCGCGGCCUAUCAGCUAGUUGGUGUGGGUAAUGGCCCACCAAGGCGACGACGGGUAGCCGGCCUGAGAGGGUGACCGGCCACACUGGGACUGAGAUACCGGCCCAGAUCCGUAACGGGG